rnacentral:tRNA from 1 species
GUUCCCGUGGUGUAGUGGUUAUCACGUACGCUUAACACGCCCAAGGCCACCGGUUCGAUCCCGGGCGGGAACA